AUGUUGCUCUCGGCCUCGGUGAACUCCAUCUCGUCCAUGCCCUCCCCCGUGUACCAGUGCAGGAAGGCCUUGCGCCGGAACAUGGCCGUGAACUGCUCGCUCACGCGCCGGAACAUCUCCUGGAUGGACGUCGAGUUGCCGAUGAAGGUGGAGGCCAUCUUGAGGCCUGUGGGCGGGAUGUCGCACACCGUCGACUUGACGUUGUUGGGGAUCCACUCCACGAACAUCUGCUCGUCCACCUCCUUGGUGCUCAUCUUGCCCCGGAACAUGGCCGAGGCCGUCAGGUAG
rnacentral:rRNA from 1 species